rnacentral:rRNA from 1 species
AUUGAACGCUGGCGGCAUGCUUUACACAUGCAAGUCGAACGGUAACAGGUUAAGCUGACGAGUGGCGAACGGGUGAGUAAUGCAUCGGAACGUUCCCGGUCGGGGGGGAUAACGCAGCGAAAGCUGCGCUAAUACCGCAUACGAUCUGAGGAUGAAAGCGGGGGACCGUAAGGCCUCGCGCGAUCGCAGCGGCCGAUGUCAGAUUAGGUAGUUGGUGGGGUAAAGGCUCACCAAGCCAACGAUCUGUAGCUGGUCUGAGAGGACGACCAGCCACACUGGGACUGAGACACGGCCCAGACUCCUACGGGAGGCAGCAGUGGGGAAUUUUGGACAAUGGGCGAAAGCCUGAUCCAGCAAUGCCGCGUGCAGGAAGAAGGCCUUCGGGUUGUAAACUGCUUUUGUACGGAGCGAAAAGGUCUCCUCUAAUACAGGGGGCUCAUGACGGUACCGUAAGAAUAAGCACCGGCUAACUACGUGCCAGCAGCCGCAGUAA